GAAGGCCUUUGGGUUGUAAACCUCUUUUCUCAGGGAAGAAGAUCUGACGGUACCUGAGGAAUAAGCAUCGGCUAACUCCGUGCCAGCAGCCGCGGUAAUACGGAAGAUGCAAGCGUUAUCCGGAAUCAUUGGGCGUAAAGCGCCUGUAGGUUGUUUAAUAAGUCUGUUGUUAAAGCCUAGGGCUUAACCCUAGAAAAGCAAUGGAAACUAUUAGACUAGAGUAUGGUAGGGGUAGAGGGAAUUUCUAGUGUAGCGGUGAAAUGCGUAGAUAUUAGAAAGAACACCGGUGGCGAAAGCGCUCUACUGGACCAUUACUGACACUCAGGGACGAAAGCUAGGGUAG
rnacentral:rRNA from 1 species